rnacentral:rRNA from 2 species
AUGAUUUUGGAUCCGACUGAGUGGCGAACUGGUGAGUAACACGUGGGUAACCUGCCCAGAAGAAGGGGAUAACACCUGGAAACAGAUGCUAAUACCGUAUAACAACAAGAACCACAUGGUUCUUGUUUGAAAGCUGGCCUUUGUGCUAGUGCUUCUGGAUGGACCCGCGGCGUAUUAGCUAGUUGGUGAGAUAAUAGCUCACCAAGGCAAUGAUACGUAGCAGACCUGAGAGGGUAAUCUGCCACAAUGGGACUGAGACACGGCCCAUACUCCUACGGGAGGCAGCAGUAGGGAAUCUUCCACAAUGGACGAAAGUCUGAUGGAGCAACGCCGCGUGAGUGAAGAAGGGUUUCGGCUCGUAAAACUCUGUUGUUAGAGAAGAACAGCCGUGAGAGCAACUGCUCACGGUAUGACGGUAUCUAACCAGAAAGUCACGGCUAACUACGUGCCAGCAGCCGCGGUAAUACGUAGGUGGCAAACGUUGUCCGGAUUUAUUGGGCGUAAAGGGAGCGCAGGCGGUUUAUUAAGUCUGAUGUGAAAGCCUUCGGCUUAACCGGAGAAGUGCAUCGGAAACUGAUAAACUUGAGUGCAGAAAAGGAUAGUGGAACUUCAUGUGUAGCGGUGAAAUGCGUAGAUAUAUGAAGGAACACCAGUGGCGAAGGCGGCUAUCUGGUCUGUAACUGACGCUGAGGCUCGAAAGCAUGGGUAGCAAACAGGAUUAGAUACCCUGGUAGUCCAUGCCGUAAACGAUGAAUGCUAGGUGUUGGAAGGUUUCCGCCUUUCAGUGCCGCAGCUAACGCAUUAAGCAUUCCGCCUGGGGA